CCUACGGGAGGCAGCAGUGAGGAAUAUUGGUCAAUGGGCGCGAGCCUGAACCAGCCAAGUAGCGUGAAGGAUGACUGCCCUACGGGGUGUAAACUUCUUUUAUAAAGGAAUAAAGUGAGGCACGUGUGCCGUUUUGUAUGUACUUUAUGAAUAAGGAUCGGCUAACUCCGUGCCAGCAGCCGCGGUAAUACGGAGGAUCCGAGCGUUAUCCGGAGUGAUUGGGUUGAAAGGGAGCGUAGAUGGGUUGUUAAGUCAGUUGUGAAAGUUUGCGGCUCAACCGGAAAAUUGCAAUUGAUACUGGCAGUCUUGAGUACAGUUGCGGUAGGCGGCAUUCGUGGUGUAGCGGUGCACUGCUUAGAUCU
rnacentral:rRNA from 1 species